rnacentral:rRNA from 1 species
GUGUCAGCAGCCGCGGUAAAACGUAGGAGCCAAGCGUUAUCCGAAUUCACUGGGCGUAAAGCGCGUGCAGGCGGUCUGGUAAGUUGGAUGUGAAAUCUCCUGGCUCAACUGGGAGAGGCCGUUCGAUACUGUCAGACUAGAGGGCGAGAGAGGGAGGUGGAAUUCCGGGUGUAGUGGUGAAAUGCGUAGAUAUCCGGAGGAACACCAGAGGCGAAGGCGACCUCCUGGAUCGCACCUGACGCUCAGACGCGAAAGCUAGGGGAGCGAACGGGAUUAGAAACCCCUGUAGUCC